rnacentral:rRNA from 1 species
UACGUAGGGGGCAAGCGUUGUCCGGAAUUAUUGGGCGUAAAGAGCGCGUAGGCGGUCCGAUAAGUCGGCUGUGAAAGUCAGGGGCUCAACCCUUGAAAGCCGGCCGAUACUGUCGGACUAGAGUUCGGAAGAGGCAAGUGGAAUUCCCGGUGUAGCGGUGAAAUGCGCAGAUAUCGUGAGGAAGACCAGUGGCGAAGGCGAAUCUCUGGACAGAUCCUGACGCUGAGGCACGAAGGCUAGGGGAGCAAACGGG